rnacentral:lncRNA from 1 species
CUUAUCAAAAACACUGUUCGGGAUUCAAAAUACGAUUGUAUAGAAUUUUUUAAUCUCCUCUAUAAAUAGGAGGAAAGAUCAAUUGUAUAGAUAUCUUGUAAAUUACGAAAUACUUUCCUUUUUAGUUUUCUCUUGUAAACUUUUCCUUUUUGUAAUAAAAUAGUCUAUCUUAAACCAUCACUACUUGUGUCAUGGCCACUUUUGUCACUGCUUACCUCAUCAUUGUUUUGAUGACUUCCACCUUGCCAAAC